rnacentral:rRNA from 1 species
UGUCCUACGGGGCGCAGCAGUGAGGAAUAUUGGUCAAUGGGCGCAGGCCUGAACCAGCCAAGUCGCGUGAGGGAAGACUGCCCUAUGGGUUGUAAACCUCUUUUAUAAGGGAAGAAUAAUUACUACGCGUAGCCGGAUGCCCGUACCUUAUGAAUAAGCAUCGGCUAACUCCGUGCCAGCAGCCGCGGUAAUACGGAGGAUGCGAGCGUUAUCCGGAUUUAUUGGGUUUAAAGGGUGCGUAGGCGGUAUUUUACGUUAGUGGUAAAACCUCGGGGCUUCACCUU